CAGAGGGGGCAAGCGUUGUUCGGAAUUACUGGGCGUAAAGGGCGCGUAGGCGGCCUUCUAAGUCGAACGUGAAAUCCCUGGGCUCAACCCAGGAACUGCGUCCGAUACUGGGAGGCUUGAAUCCGGGAGAGGGAUGCGGAAUUCCAGGUGUAGCGGUGAAAUGCGUAGAUAUCUGGAGGAACACCGGUGGCGAAGGCGGCAUCCUGGACCGGCAUUGACGCUGAGGCGCGAAAGCCAGGGGAGCAAACGGGAUUAGAUACCCCGGUAGUCCUGGCCCUAAACGAUGAAUGCUUGGUGUGGCGGGUAUCGAUCCCUGCCGUGCCGAAGCUAACGCAUUAAGCAUUCCGCCUGGGGAGUACGGUCGCAAGGCUG
rnacentral:rRNA from 1 species